rnacentral:rRNA from 1 species
AUUGAACGCUGGCGGCAUGCCUUACACAUGCAAGUCGAACGGCAGCACGGGUGCUUGCACCUGGUGGCGAGUGGCGAACGGGUGAGUAAUAUAUCGGAACGUACCUUAUUGUGGGGGAUAACGCAGCGAAAGCUGUGCUAAUACCGCAUAAUCCCUAAGGGGGAAAGCGGGGGACCGUAAGGCAUCGAGCAAUUAGAGCGGCCGAUACCUGAUUAGCUAGUUGGUGAGGUAAAGGCUCACCAAGGCAACGAUCAGUAGCUGGUCUGAGAGGACGAUCAGCCACACUGGGACUGAGACACGGCCCAGACUCCUACGGGAGGCAGCAGUGGGGAAUUUUGGACAAUGGGGGCAACCCUGAUCCAGCAAUGCCGCGUGAGUGAAGAAGGCCUUCGGGUUGUAAAGCUCUUUUGUCAGGGAAGAAACAGCAGCUCUAACACAGUUUGCGAAUGACGGUACCUGAAGAAUAAGCACCGGCUAACUACGUGCCAGCAGCCGCAGUAA